GACGGUACAGGGUGAUAGUCCCGUACACCAAAAUGCACAGGCUGUGAACUCGAAGAGUAGGGCGGGACACGUGGUAUCCUGUCUGAAUAUGGGGGGACCAUCCUCCAAGGCUAAAUACUCCUGACUGACCGAUAGUGAACCAGUACCGUGAGGGAAAGGCGAAAAGAACCCCGGCGAGGGGAGUGAAAAAGAACCUGAAACCGUGUACGUACAAGCAGUGGGAGCACCUUCGGGUGUGACUGCGUACCUUUUGUAUAAUGGGUCAGCGACUUAUAUUCUGUAGCAAGGUUAACCGUAUAGGGGAGCCGCAGGGAAACCGAGUCUUAACUGGGCGUUAAGUUGCAGGGUAUAGACCCGAAACCCGGUGAUCUAGCCAUGGGCAGGUUGAAGGUUGGGUAACACUAACUGGAGGACCGAACCGACUAAUGUUGAAAAAUUAGCGGAUGACUUGUGGCUGGGGGUGAAAGGCCAAUCAAACCGGGAGAUAGCUGGUUCUCCCCGAAAGCU
rnacentral:rRNA from 1 species